rnacentral:rRNA from 1 species
AGAGUGGGGAGUAAAUAGGAUAGAUAGGUUGGUAGUUUAUGUAGUAAAUGAUGUUGAUUUGGAGGUUGUGUAGUUGAGGAGUGGGUUUUGGAGAUAAUGAGUUAAGUAGAUUGCGUGGGGAGUAUGGGUGUAAGGUUAAAAAUUAAAUGAAUUGAAGGGGGUUAGUACAAGUGGUGGAGUAUGUGGUUUAAUUCGAUGCAACGGGAAGAACCUUACAUAAUCUUGACAUCCAGAGAACUUAGCAGAGAUGGUUUGGUGCCUUCGGGAACUCUGAGACAGGUGCUGCAUGGCUGUCGUCAGAUCGUGUUGUGAAAUGUUGGGUUAAGUCCCGCAACGAGCGCAACCCUUAUCCUUUGUUGCCAGCGGUUAGGCCGGGAACUCAAAGGAGACUGCCAGUGAUAAACUGGAGGAAGGUGGGGAUGACGUCAAGUCAUCAUGGCCCUUACGAGUAGGGCUACACACGUGCUACAAUGGCGCAUACAAAGAGAAGCGACCUCGCGAGAGCAAGCGGACCUCAUAAAGUGCGUCGUAGUCCGGAUUGGAGUCUGCAACUCGACUCCAUGAAGUCGGAAUCGCUAGUAAUCGUGGAUCAGAAUGCCACGGUGAAUACGUUCCCGGGCCUUGUACACACCGCCCGUCACACCAUGGGA